AAAUUGAAGAGUUUGAUCAUGGCUCAGAUUGAACGCUGGCGGCAGGCCUAACACAUGCAAGUCGGGCGGUAGCACAGAGGAGCUUGCUCCUUGGGUGACGAGCGGCGGACGGGUGAGUAAAGUCUGGGGAUCUGCCUGAUGGAGGGGGAUAACUACUGGAAA
rnacentral:rRNA from 1 species